CCUACGGGAGGCAGCAGUGGGGAAUCUUGCGCAAUGGCCUAACGGCUGACGCAGCGACGCCGCGUGAGGGAUGACGCUCUUCGGAGUGUAAACCUCUUUUGCCUGAGACGAAUUGUCAGCUUUAGCUGAUUUGACUGUAUCGGGUGAAUAAGCACCGGCUAACUCCGUGCCAGCAGCCGCGGUAAUACGGGGGGUGCGAGCGUUGUCCGGAAUUAUUGGGCGUAAAGAGCUUGUAGGCGGUUUGUCGCGUCUGCUGUGAAAUUUCGGGGCUCAACCCCGAACUUGCAGUGGGUACGGGCAGGCUAGAGUGUGGUAGGGGAGACUGGAAUUCCUGGUGUAGCGGUGAAAUGCGCAGAUAUCAGGAGGAACACCGAUGGCGAAGGCAGGUCUCUGGGCCACUACUGACGCUGAGAAGCGAAAGCAUGGGGAGCGAACAGGAUUAGAUACCCUGGUAGUCCAUGCCGUAAACGUUGGGAACUAGGUGUGGGCCUCAUUCCACGAGGUCCGUGCCGCAGCUAACGCAUUAAGUUCCCCGCCUGGGGAGUACGGCCGCAAGGCUAAAACUCAAAGGAAUUGACGG
rnacentral:rRNA from 1 species